rnacentral:lncRNA from 10 species
AUUGAAGACUUUGCUUAGAUUGCCCCCAAUUAUCUUAUUUACUUCUCAAAAAUAAGUCAUACUAUUUUUAUCAGUAAUAUGGCUCUCUAAAACUAAAUAUUAUAUGACAAACAGUGAAAGUUCAUUUAAAACACCAAGAAAACACUAUCAAGGGUGACGGACCUGCAUUUUGGGGACCUAGCCUCCUUUAGCAAGGCUCACUGCCUGGGAUCUGUGUGGACACUGCGUCUGAUGUCCAGGAUUCAUCAUUCAUCAUCCUUCCCAAAAGUGGCUCUUCAGUCUUUUCCAUUCUAUCACCCAUAACUCCUCUUUAUUUCACUAAGGGCAUCUUUUCUUGCCAUGGGCCUCAAUCAAAACCAGAAGUCUUUCCAGUCACCUGGCAAAUGGCAAAAGCAGGAUACACAGCAAUGCCCCAGAUAGUCACUGCUGCACCAGGCUGGGUCCUGCAGUAAGGAUGAUGCAGAGCAGAACUGCCAACCAACCUGCAAUGGAUACGCAGUACAAGUGAGAAAUAAAUUCUUAAGUUUUAAGCCACUGACAUCAUGGAGUUAUUUUGUUACUACAGUGUAACCCAGCUCAUCCUGACUGAUAUGACUGUGAAUUCAACUGGUG